UACAGGGGGUGCAAACGUUGCUCGGAAUUAUUGGGCGUAAAGGGCGCGUAGGCGGCCACGCAAGUCGGAUGUGAAAUCCCUCGGCUCAACCGAGGAACUGCAUCCGAAACUGCGAGGCUCGAGUCCUGGAGAGGGUAGUGGAAUUCCCAGUGUAGCGGUGAAAUGCGUAGAUACUGGGAAGAACACCGGAGGCGAAGGCGGAUUGCUGGGCCGACACUGACGCUGAGGCGCGAAAGCCAGGGGAGCAAACGGG
rnacentral:rRNA from 1 species